AUUUUUAGUAGAGACGGGGUUUCACCGUGUUAGCCAGAAUGGUCUCGAUCUCCUGACCUCACGAUCUGCCCACCUCGGCUUCUCAAAGUGCUGGGAUUACAGGCGUGAGCCACCACGCCCAGGCCUAGACAUUUUUUAAACUGCUAUGUUUGUUACAUACCAUGAUCCUAAUCUUAACUCUUUUUGUGUGUUUGGUGAGACCCCAUUUCAAAAAAAAAAGUUGUUUAAUGAGAAGGUCGUAGCUGAUCUAUACUUACAUAAUUCUGGGAACAAUUAUAGUAUUUGUUGUUGUUAUCUGAGUGUUCUCUGUGUUGGUUGCUGGGGAGAAAAAGAAACAAGUUGGUAGUCGCUCUUCUCCGUGGUAGAUAUGCUUGAUUUGGGAACGAGUACUGAAUAUAGUUGAAAAGAGAAGAAAUUGGUAUUCCUUAUUUCCUUAUUCAGUUUUCUGCCUGCUGAAAGCAAUAAGUAUGUUACCUCACAUUCCUCCCUUAUUGUUUGCUUGCAGUAGUCCCCCUCAGAGUAGUACUUGAAAGUUGGAAAUAGGUAGAAAUGUGAACCUUGUAUAGUAGGGCUAAUCAAG
rnacentral:lncRNA from 1 species